rnacentral:rRNA from 1 species
GACGAACGCUGGCGGCGUGCUUAACACAUGCAAGUCGAACGAAGUGGCGAACGGGUGAGUAACGCGUAAUCAACCUGCCCUUCAGCGGGGGACAACAGUUGGAAACGACUGCUAAUACCGCAUACUGAAGGAGGGGAUGGCGUCUGAUUAGCUAGUUGGAGGGGUAACGGCCCACCAAGGCGGUGAACAGUAGCCGGUCUGAGGAGAUGAACGGCCACAUUGGGACUGGGUCCCGGCCCCGACUCCUACGGGGGGGCGCAGUGGGGAAUCUUCCGCAAUUGGCGAAAGUCUUACGGGGCAACGCCCCGUUGGUGAUGACGGCCUUCGGGUUGUAAAGCUCUGUUAAUCGGGACGCGGUACCGGAAUAGAAAGCCACGGCUAACUACGUGCCAGCCGCCGCGGUAAUAC